UUUCAUUGUGAUUUUGUCUCUAUAGGAUUUGAGCGGUGUCUCUCCUAGUUACAUGUCUCAUCAGACUAACAUCAAUGAAAAGACUCGUGGUGUUCUUAUGUAUAGGCUUCUAACAGAGAUGCACUGUAAACUUGAGCUGCUUCGUGAGACCCUGUUCCUCAUAGUGAACAUCCGAGACAGAUAUCUAGCACAUGAAAAUAGAUUGAGGAAGAAACUCCAGCUGGUCGGUGUGACUGUCAUGCUGCUGGUGUGCAAAAUACAAGGAGAGUGUCCCUGUGGUGGAGGAUCUGAUCAUCAUCGGCAACCGUGCCUACACCUGGAAGGAUAUCCUUGAAAUGGAGAGAGAAAUUGUGGACAUGCUCGAGUUCGACAUGUUCGUUCUGACCCAAUACUGCUUCAUGAGAAGGUUCCUAAAGGUACCCAAAUCUGGCAAAAACGUAAGUUGGGUGCUGCCGUGUUAUGAA